rnacentral:tRNA from 1 species
GCCAGCACCUGGGAGGCGGUGUGCCAGCGGGUCUCCUGGGCCCGCCGGCGGAUCGCGCUGGCCAUGACCGGGGUUCACCACCUUAUGCUCGUA